AUUGAACGCUGGCGGCAUGCCUUACACAUGCAAGUCGAACGGUAACAGGUCUUCGGAUGCUGACGAGUGGCGAACGGGUGAGUAAUGCAUCGGAACGUGCCCAGUAGUGGGGGAUAGCCCGGCGAAAGCCGGAUUAAUACCGCAUACGACCUGAGGGUGAAAGGGGGGGAUCGCAAGACCUCUCGCUAUUGGAGCGGACGAUGUCAGAUUAGCUAGUUGGUGGGGUAAAGGCCUACCAAGGCAACGAUCUGUAGUUGGUCUGAGAGGACGACCAGCCACACUGGGACUGAGACACGGCCCAGACUCCUACGGGAGGCAGCAGUGGGGAAUGUUGGACAAUGGGCGCAAGCCUGAUCCAGCAAUGCCGCGUGCAGGAAGAAGGCCUUCGGGUUGUAAACUGCUUUUGUCAGGGAAGAAAUCUUCUGGGUUAAUACCUCGGGAGGAUGACGGUACCUGAAGAAUAAGCACCGGCUAACUACGUGCCAGCCGCCGCCGUAAAAC
rnacentral:rRNA from 1 species